rnacentral:misc_RNA from 1 species
UCGUGGGGCUCUGGCCUCGUCGAGAUAGCGUCCUUGCCUAUUUUUUGGAGUACCUUUUCGUUUUCCUCAGCAGGCCUGCCUGCUACAGGGGACCCCCAAAACUCUUUUGUAAAUGCAGCAACCGUCUGAGCAAAUAAACAAAAAAAAUCA